UAUUUACCAUUCAUUUGAAAAAUUUGCUAGAUUAAAAAUUAGUAGUUUUCUCUCAAAAUUCCCUUUACCAUUAUGAUUUUCUUGGCAUCCAAACAUAUUUUUCUUCUCAAAUUUUUAAAGAAACUCAUUAUUUCUCCUUCAAUUUUCUACUAUUUCUUUACUCGUAUUUGCUCAAAUUGAUCUAAAUCUCUUGGAGUUCUUCAAACCAAAGCCUCUGAUCGUGAAGGUGCAUGAUCGAGCAAGGACAAGGGCAAGAAGAAGGUGAUUUAGGCCCGAUAGUAAGCAACGAACCAGUAGGUGAGUGUCCUGUAUACUGUCUUUUAAACACUAGUUCGCAUGCUAAGGGAAGCUAGGUAAGUCAUGUGAACCAUGAUACGAGAUCUGCAAACCCUGUUACAAUUUCAUGCAAACCUAGAUGUCUGAUCUGCAAACCCUGCAUAUUAUUAAGCGAACCAUGUUCUGUCUACGUGAAACCAUGCAUGUGCAAACCCAUGUCAUAUAAUGUUCAAACCCAUACCGUGUUGAAUGAAAACAUUUAUGAUUUGCGAACCCAUGUUAUAUGCAGACCUAUGUGUAUUAUGAGUUUUGCUAAAUGCGAACUGUGAUAAUGUGCACUGUAAUGUGCGAGCUCUAUCAUACUGUGUACUGUGAAUAUGUUAAAAAUGAUAUGUUGGCAUUGUGAACACUUGAAACCAUUGUAUAUCAUUGACAUGCCAUAGGAUUGUGAGUACUCACCCUUUUUAUUAUGUGUUAGGGCAUUGUGGCCCGAAGAUAGUGUUGGAGAGAUAAAGGAGUGUUGAGCAUAACUCCAUUCACUUUAGAUAGCGUGGAGUGUUUGGAGAGUGCGAGCACUCAUGCUACACUUAUUAGAGAUAGCGCAGGACUCUUUGAGUCAUUCAGAGUGUAUGGAGAUCCAUUUAUCCAAUGCAUAUAAAUUAUGUUUCACAUUCAGAAAUUGCCAAUAUAUCACUAUAAUUUGUAUGAGUAUUGUAAUUGUUAUGCGAACUGUUAUAGCAUGUCUAAUUUCUUACACGACUGGUGUGUUUAUAUGUUGUAUGCUUGAGCACUCACUAGGCUUCAAUAAGCUCACACUCCUUGCAUACACCUUGCAAAGCAAAUCCCCUUAAGUAUGUGUUGUGUUUCCAAACCCCAAAAAGGAAGGCAAUGUGGGACCGAUUCCAAUGGACUAGAUUUAGAUUUAGACUUAGACUUUUAAAUAAAAUUUGAUGGGUUGUAAAUGGACAUUACAAACUAUUUAAUUUUGGAUAUUUGGACUUUAUAACUACUUGAUUGAAUGCUUGAUUGGUUGGGUUAUCAUA